rnacentral:tRNA from 1 species
GGGCGUGUAGCUCAAUGGUAGAGCAGUGGCCUUUUAAGCCAUUGGUUGGGGGUUCGAGUCCCUCCACGCUCA